GACGAACGCUGGCGGCGUGCUUAACACAUGCAAGUCGAACGAUGAUGCUGGAGCUUGCUCCAGUUGAUUAGUGGCGAACGGGUGAGUAACACGUGAGCAAUCUGCCCUUGACUCUGGGAAAACUGCGGGAAACUGUAGCUAAUACCGGAUACUUUCACCGGAAGGCAUCUUCUGGUGAUGAAAGAAUUUCGGUCAGGGAUGAGCUCGCGGCCUAUCAGCUUGUUGGUGAGGUAACGGCUCUCCAAGGCGACGACGGGUAGCCGGCCUGAGAGGGUGACCGGCCACACUGGGACUGAGACACGGCCCAGACUCCUACGGGAGGCAGCAGUGGGGAAUAUUGCACAAUGGGCGCAAGCCUGAUGCAGCAACGCCGCGUGAGGGAUGAAGGCCUUCGGGUUGUAAACCUCUUUUAGCAGGGAAGAAGCGAAAGUGACGGUACCUGCAGAAAAAGCACCGGCUAACUACGUGCCAGCAGCCGCAGUAA
rnacentral:rRNA from 1 species